rnacentral:misc_RNA from 1 species
GAUGAAGAACGUAGCGAAAUGCGAUAAGUAAUGUGAAUUGCAGAAUUCAGUGAAUCAUCGAAUCUUUGAACGCACACUGCGCCCGCCAGUAUUCUGGCGGGCAUGCCUGUUCGAGCGUCAUUUCAACCAUCAAGCCCCCGGCUUGUGUUGGGGACCUGCGGCUGCCGCAGGCCCUGAAAAGCAGUGGCGGGCUCGCUGUCACACCGAGCGUAGUAGCAUACAUCUCGCUCUGGGCGUGCUGCGGGUUCCGGCCGUUAAACCACCUUCAUAACCCAAGGUUGACCUCGGAUCAGGUAGGAAGACCCGCUGAACUUAAGCAUAUCAAUAAGCGGAGGA